rnacentral:rRNA from 1 species
UGGGGAAUUUUGGACAAUGGGGGAAACCCUGAUCCAGCCAUCCCGCGUGUGCGAUGAAGGCCUUCGGGUUGUAAAGCACUUUUGGCAGGAAAGAAACGUCAUGGGUUAAUACCCCGUGAAACUGACGGUACCUGCAGAAUAAGCACCGGCUAAUUACGUGCCAGCAGCCGCGGCAAUACGUAGGGUGCAAGCGUUAAUCGGAAUUACUGGGCGUAAAGCGUGCGCAGGCGGUUCGGAAUGAAAGAUGUGAAAUCCCAGAGCUCAACUUUGGAACUGGAAUUUGAACUACCAGGCUAGAGUGUGUGAGAGGAAGGUGGAAUUCCGCGUGUAGCAGUGAAAUGCGUAGAUAUGCGGAGGAACACCGAUGGCGAAGGCAGCCUCCUGGGAUAACACUGACGCUCAUGCACGAAAGCGUGGGGAGCAAACAGG